rnacentral:misc_RNA from 1 species
AUUUCAAUCUGAUACUCUUGAUUUUAAUCAGAUGUCUGAAUAUAUAAAUAGGAGAAGUUCAGUGCCUGGAAAAAUACCAUCUGGACUGUUUAAUUCAAUGUUUGGAUUUGAGAGUGGUUCAUGGGCUAAUGAUGCAGCAAAUACAAAGUAUUUGGGGCUUGAUGGUUAUUUCAUCAUAUUAUUUGAUGUUCAUAUUGAUAGAUAUUCACUUGUUUUGGAUAAUCAAGUUGUUAAUGAUGUUCCUUCCACUUGGGAUCCUGCAGCACUUGCAAGGUUUAUUGAAAAAUAUGGUACACACAUAAUAGUGGGGUUAAGUAUUGGAGGACAAGAUGUGGUCCUAGUGAGGCAAGACAAAUUAUCAAACAUGGAACCAUCACAACUCAAGAACCACUUGGAUGAACUUGGUGAUCAAUUAUUCACUGGCAUUUGCAACUAUUGUCCACAACAAUUCAAAUCAAGAGAACAAAAACAUAAGGCAUUCAAUAUUUUUGAUCCACAACCCAACAUCUUUAGCAGCUUUCCAUCAGCAACAACCAAAAAUGGUGUAACUGUGAUAUGUUCAAAAAGAGGUGGAGAUUUAACAGCAAAUACACAUAGUGAAUGGCUUCUAACAGUGCCUUCAAUGCCAGAUGCUAUUGCCUUUAACUUCAUUCCUAUUACUUCACUUCUCAAAGGUGUUCCUGGCAAGGGCUUUUUAUCACAUGCUAUCAACCUUUAUCUUAGAUAUAAGCCACCCAUAGCAGAUUUGCAAUAUUUUCUGGAUUUUCAAGCCCACAAAAUUUGGGCUCCUAUUCACAAUGAUCUUCCUUUAGGCCCAACUACAAAUAGGUCCAUUAGACCUCCAGCCAUUCAUUUCAAUUUGAUGGGCCCAAAGCUAUAUGUAAACCCAACUCAGGUAAUAGUUGGGAAGACACCUGUAACUGGAAUACGACUUUAUCUUGAAGGAGUAAAGUGUGAUAGGCUGGCCAUACAUUUACAACACUUGAUAAACACUCCAGUACUCCUACAAGACAAAAUAGACGAUCCGCUGACGUGGCGCGGGUCCGAAGACACACCCGACCAUCGAUAUUUCGAACCCAUCCAGUGGAAAAAAUUCUCACACGUAUGCACGGCUCCUGUAAAGUACGAUCCGAAUUGGGCACCAUACGAAAAUGGCUUUAGUUUCAUCGUUACGGGUGCUCAACUCCACGUUAAAAAACACGAUACAAAGAGUGUCUUACAUCUCAGAUUGUUAUAUUCUAAAGUUUCUAACUCAUGUAUCGUGCAGUCUCAGUGGAUGCAAUGUGCCUUUGAGAGUUGCACGAAAUCAUCAUCGGGUUUUUUAUCAGCUAUUAGUGGUGCAUCCUCGAUUCCCGGGUUUUUAUCCGAAAAACCGGUGGUGGUGGACUCGGGUGUGUACCCGACGGGCCCACCGGUGCCGGUGCAUACCCAAAAGCUACUUAAAUUUGUGGAUACAACACAAUUGUGUAGAGGCCCAUUGGAUAGUCCAGGUCAUUGGUUGGUUACCG